rnacentral:rRNA from 1 species
ACACCGGCGGCCCGAGUGGGGAUCGUGAUUAUUGGGUCUAAAGGGUCCGUAGCCGGUUUGGUCAGUCCUCCGGGAAAUCUGCUAGCUCAACUAUUAGGCUUUCGGGGGAUACUGCCAGACUUGGAACCGGGAGAGGUAAGAGGUACUACAGGGGUAGGAGUGAAAUCUUGUAAUCCCUGUGGGACCACCUGUGGCGAAGGCGUCUGACCAGAACGGGUUCGACGGUGAGGGACGAAAGCUGGGGGCACGAACCGGAUUAGAUACCCGGGUAGUCCCAGCCGGAAACGAUGCUCGCUAGGUGUCAGGCAUGGCGCGACCGUGUCUGGUGCCGCAGGGAAGCCGUGAAGCGAGCCACCUGGGAAGUACGGCCGCAAGGCUGAAACUCAAAUGAAUUGGCGGGGG